AGUUUGAUCCUGGCUCAGGAUGAACGCUGGCGGCGUGCCUAACACAUGCAAGUCGAACGAAGCGCUAUAGUUGGAUUCUUCGGAAAAAGAGUAUAGUGACUGAGUGGCGGACGGGUGAGUAACGCGUGGGCAACCUGCCCCAUACAGGGGGAUAACAGUUAGAAAUGACUGCUAAUACCGCAUAAGCGCACGGCAACGCAUGUUGCUGUGUGAAAAACUCCGGUGGUAUGGGAUGGACCCGCGUCUGAUUAGCCAGUUGGCAGGGUAACGGCCUACCAAAGCGACGAUCAGUAGCCGGCCUGAGAGGGUGGACGGCCACAUUGGGACUGAGACACGGCCCAAACUCCUACGGGAGGCAGCAGUGGGGAAUAUUGCACAAUGGGGGGAACCCUGAUGCAGCGACGCCGCGUGAGCGAAGAAGUAUUUCGGUAUGUAAAGCUCUAUCAGCAGGGAAGAAAAUGACGGUACCUGACUAAGAAGCACCGGCUAAAUACGUG
rnacentral:rRNA from 1 species